GAUGAACGCUGGCGGCGUGCUUAACACAUGCCAGUCGAACGGAAAGGCUCCUGCUUGCAGGGGUACUCGAGUGGCGAACGGGUGAGUAACACGUGGGUGAUCUGCCCUGCACUUCGGGAUAAGCCUGGGAAACUGGGUCUAAUACCGGAUAGGACCAUCGUUUAGUGUCGGUGGUGGAAAGUUUUUUCGGUGUGGGAUGAGCUCGCGGCCUAUCAGCUUGUUGGUGGGGUAAUGGCCUACCAAGGCGUCGACGGGUAGCCGGCCUGAGAGGGUGUACGGCCACAUUGGGACUGAGAUACGGCCCAGACUCCUACGGGAGGCAGCAGUGGGGAAUAUUGCACAAUGGGCGCAAGCCUGAUGCAGCGACGCCGCGUGGGGGAUGACGGCCUUCGGGUUGUAAACUCCUUUCGCCAGGGACGAAGCGAAAGUGACGGUACCUGGAGAAGAAGCACCGGCUAACUACGUG
rnacentral:rRNA from 1 species